AGACCCGAAACCCGGUGAUCUAGCCAUGGGCAGGUUGAAGGUUGGGUAACACUAACUGGAGGACCGAACCGACUAAUGUUGAAAAAUUAGCGGAUGACCUGUGGCUGGGGGUGAAAGGCCAAUCAAACCGGGAGAUAGCUGGUUCUCCCCGAAAGCUAUUUAGGUAGCGCCUCGUGAAUUCAUCUCCGGGGGUAGAGCACUGUUUCGGCUAGGGGGCCAUCCCGGCUUACCAACCCGAUGCAAACUGCGAAUACCGGAGAAUGUUAUCACGGGAGACACACGGCGGGUGCUAACGUCCGUCGUGAAGAGGGAAACAACCCAGACCGCCAGCUAAGGUCCCAAAGUCAUGGUUAAGUGGGAAACGAUGUGGGAAGGCCCAGACAGCCAGGAUGUUGGCUUAGAAGCAGCCAUCAUUUAAAGAAAGCGUAAUAGCUCACUGGUCGAGUCGGCCUGCGCGGAAGAUGUAACGGGGCUAAACCAUGCACCGAAGCUGCGGCAGCGAACGUAUCACCCAAGACAACUUUACGGAGUUGACGAUUGACGGAGCGAAGCGACGUCAAAGCGUUCAUUAAAGUCGAGUUGGCUUAGGGAUACGUUCGUUGGGUAGGGGAGCGUUCUGUAAGCCUGUGAAGGUGUGUCGUGAGGCAUGCUGGAGGUAUCAGAAGUGCGAAUGCUGACAUAAGUAACGAUAAAGCGGGUGAAAAGCCCGCUCGCCGGAAGACCAAGGGUUCCUGUCCAACGUUAAUCGGGGCAGGGUGAGUCGACCCCUAAGGCGAGGCCGAAAGGCGUAGUCGAUGGGAAACGGGUUAAUAUUCCCGUACUUGGUGUUACUGCGAAGGGGGGACGGAGAAGGCUAUGUUGGCCGGGCGACGGUUGUCCCGGUUUAAGCGUGUAGGUGUGUGUUCCAGGUAAAUCCGGUUCACUUUAACACUGAGGCGUGACGACGAGGCACUACGGUGCUGAAGCAACAAAUGCCCUGCUUCCAGGAAAAGCCUCUAAGCAUCAGGUAACACGAAAUCGUACCCCAAACCGACACAGGUGGUCAGGUAGAGAAUACCAAGGCGCUUGAGAGAACUCGGGUGAAGGAACUAGGCAAAAUGGUGCCGUAACUUCGGGAGAAGGCACGCUGACACGUAGGUGAAGUGAUUUACUCAUGGAGCUGAAGUCAGUCGAAGAUACCAGCUGGCUGCAACUGUUUAUUAAAAACACAGCACUGUGCAAACACGAAAGUGGACGUAUACGGUGUGACGCCUGCCCGGUGCCGGAAGGUUAAUUGAUGGGGUCAGCGUAAGCGAAGCUCCUGAUCGAAGCCCCGGUAAACGGCGGCCGUAACUAUAACGGUCCUAAGGUAGCGAAAUUCCUUGUCGGGUAAGUUCCGACCUGCACGAAUGGCGUAAUGAUGGCCAGGCUGUCUCCACCCGAGACUCAGUGAAAUUGAACUCGCUGUGAAGAUGCAGUGUACCCGCGGCAAGACGGAAAGACCCCGUGAACCUUUACUAUAGCUUGACACUGAACAUUGAGCCUUGAUGUGUAGGAUAGGUGGGAGGCUUUGAAGUGUGGACGCCAGUCUGCAUGGAGCCGACCUUGAAAUACCACCCUUUAAUGUUUGAUGUUCUAACGUGGACCCGUAAUCCGGGUUGCGGACAGUGUCUGGUGGGUAGUUUGACUGGGGCGGUCUCCUCCUAAAGAGUAACGGAGGAGCACGAAGGUUGGCUAAUCCUGGUCGGACAUCAGGAGGUUAGUGCAAUGGCAUAAGCCAGCUUGACUGCGAGCGUGACGGCGCGAGCAGGUGCGAAAGCAGGUCAUAGUGAUCCGGUGGUUCUGAAUGGAAGGGCCAUCGCUCAACGGAUAAAAGGUACUCCGGGGAUAACAGGCUGAUACCGCCCAAGAGUUCAUAUCGACGGCGGUGUUUGGCACCUCGAUGUCGGCUCAUCACAUCCUGGGGCUGAAGUAGGUCCCAAGGGUAUGGCUGUUCGCCAUUUAAAGUGGUACGCGAGCUGGGUUUAGAACGUCGUGAGACAGUUCGGUCCCUAUCUGCCGUGGGCGCUGGAGAACUGAGGGGGGCUGCUCCUAGUACGAGAGGACCGGAGUGGACGCAUCACUGGUGUUCGGGUUGUCAUGCCAAUGGCACUGCCCGGUAGCUAAAUGCGGAAGAGAUAAGUGCUGAAAGCAUCUAAGCACGAAACUUGCCCCGAGAUGAGUUCUCCCUGAGACUUAGAGUCUC
rnacentral:rRNA from 1 species